UACGGGGGGGGCAAGCGUUGUUCGGAAUUACUGGGCGUAAAGGGUUCGUAGGUGGCCAACUAAGUCAGACGUGAAAUCCCUCAGCUUAACUGGGGAACUGCGUCUGAUACUGGUUGGCUUGAGUGCAGGAGAGGAUGGCGGAAUUCCCCAAGUAGAGGUGAAAUUCGUAGAUAUGGGGAGGAACACCGGUGGCGAAGGCGGCCAUCUGGACGGAUACUGACGCUGAGACGCGAAAGCGUGGGGAGCAAACAGG
rnacentral:rRNA from 1 species